rnacentral:rRNA from 1 species
AACGCGUAGGUAAUCUACCCUUUGCGGGGGGCAACAUUCCGAAAGGAAUGCUAAUACCGCGUAAGACCACACUCACUACGGUGAGAGCGGUUAAAGGUGCCUCAAAGCACCACCAGAGGAUGAGCCUGCGUCCCAUCAGCUUGUUGGUAAGGUAAUGGCUUACCAAGGCGAAGACGGGUAGCUGGUCUGAGAGGAUGAUCAGCCACACUGGCACUGGAACACGGGCCAG